rnacentral:lncRNA from 1 species
GUGGGUUUAUUUUGCACCCACUUUAUACAAAAUCUCCAAAGGAAGCUGUGACAUAGAUGGUCAGAUACGUGCGUCUGGACCUCAGGGGGGAAAGCCAGGCGGGAGGCAGGCAACGGAAGGGCUCAGUGCUCUGACGGCCUUAAGUCGAGGGACUGGCUGGGGUCGCCUGUGGGCGGCCAGCAGCUCAGAGCGGAGCAUGCAGAGAGGGUGGAAGCUGUGAGAAGACAGAAAGCGUGGGAAACCAGCUCACCGCGUGGGAGAGCGCCCCACAAACAGGGACGCUGGGCUGCAGGAGGCGCGGGCAGAACUGGACGUGGCCGGGCUGAUGGAGAGGCGUAGGGACUCAAGCAGUCCCCUGGGCAAGGGCACGAUGCCGGAGCGAUCCCCUCCCUCUGCUGCCCGAGGUCUCGCACAGCUUUCAACAGACUCAGCCCCACGGAUGUCUCACUCUAAGCCAGGCUGGACGGGCACGAGGCCAACAAGCAACACGCAUGUCCACAGCCGCUGCUCCAGCCCUCGCAACACGCCCGCCACACCGGCAACCGUUUGAGGUUGAAAAACUGUCCAAGUCCGUCCUGGGCUCCUCCAAGGAGGUCGUGGUUUGAUCUGAAGUCUCAUGCCUGUCAUUACCAUCCUAUCUGUGCCUGCGAAACGGAUGUGACAAGCGCUGCCUCAGAGGAGCGAGAGCCUCAAAACCAGGUUCUUCAGGAAUGCACGCAAGGGCCCCUCCCAGGGACGGCCUGUGGACCUGGAGUCAGAAACGAGGGACUGUCCCUGUUCUGCCACUUGGCAGCGCUGUGGGCUUAGACAAGCUGCCCGGC